rnacentral:rRNA from 1 species
CGCUAACACUCCUACGGGAGGCAGCAGUGGGGAAUAUUGCACAAUGGGGGAAACCCUGAUGCAGCCAUGCCGCGUGUGUGAAGAAGGCCUUCGGGUUGUAAAGCACUUUCAGUAGGGAGGAAGGUAGUGUAGUUAACACCUGCACUAUUUGACGUUACCUACAGAAGAAGCACCGGCUAACUCCGUGCCAGCAGCCGCGGUAAUACGGAGGGUGCGAGCGUUAAUCGGAAUUACUGGGCGUAAAGCGCAUGCAGGCGGCCUGUUAAGUCAGAUGUGAAAGCCCGGGGCUUAACCUCGGAAUUGCAUUUGAAACUGGCAGGCUAGAGUCUUGUAGAGGGGGUAGAAUUUCAGGUGUAGCGGUGAAAAUGCGUAGAGAUCUGAAGGAAUACCAGUGGCGAAGGCGGCCCCCUGGACAAAGACUGACGCUCAGAUGCGAAAGCGUGGGGAGCAAACAGGAUUAGAUACCCUGGUAG